rnacentral:lncRNA from 1 species
ACUAGCCUAUUGGGGUCGGCUAGAAACCAAGUGAGGUAUGGGAGUAUACCUCACUUCCUACGCAACCAGAGAAUCUAGGUUCGGGGACUUGAUUACACUAAUUAAUCAAUUAGUGCCCUUUCGGUACCUAAUCUUGUUCAUUUUAACAAAAUGAUUUUUGACAGACAGUUUGGAUUAAUUUUAUACUUAUCCACUAACAUGUAAGGUGAUCAUGCGGGUGCGCAAUCAUUAAAGUAAACAUCAUAAUUAUCAAGAUUCUAAUUGCCAUAAAAUUAAACACAUGCAAUCAAACAUAAUUAGAUAUGCAAAUUAAACAUGCAACAUAAUC